GUUGGCAUUCUAACUUGUACAGUUAUUUAUAGGUGGCAGCAGAAUGCUUGGGGCUCACUUAGUCAGCUUGCUGUUUCUGUGGCUUCCGGUAAAGCUGCACCAACCCAUGCUCAUCUUCAUGCUAUCAACGAUACAAGGCGAGGAGUAAUGGAUGAUAAAGAAGCUGUUGCAGACAAAAGAAAUCAGACUUAUGCUAGAAAGGUAAUGUCAGAUGUGAAUUUACCAUAAGAUGCCAGUUAGUUGCUUUUAUAUUUCUUUGGUUUUUCAUUACAGUUUAGUUUUAGUGCUUUAUGGAAUGACUUCUGAAUAUCAAGUUUAGUUUUAAAUUAAUUUUGGCUUUUUCUUACACAUCUAACCCUGUGGGAUUACAUUGGCUUUGCUGUUGUUGUUGAUGAUGAUGUAGAGCCCGUUUGGAUUAACUGAUUGUAAAUAGCUGAUAAGCUUGUAGUGCUGAAAAAAAAUUUUAAAUGCUGAAACUGAUUUUUAAAAUAAGUAUUUACGUGUUUGGAUAGAAUGCUGAAACUGAUAAUAAUAAGCAGUUGAUGUGUUUGAUUAAAAAAUGCUGAUAAGCUAUUCUUUUGUUAAAAUGACUAAAAUACCCUUGAAUCUUUUUCAAAAGAUUAUAAAUUAAAAAUUUCUUUGUAAAGAAAAGAAUUAAUAACGAAUAUGGAAUGAAGAGAAAGUUAAGAAAUUUAUUUUGGGAAAAGUAUUUUGUGAAUUAGAAAAUAUUAUUAAGGAUAAACUAGUAAAAGUGUUGGUCAAACUAAAAGUGCUUAUAAGUUGAAAAACCAUAAGUUGGGGGUGACCGGCUUAUGACUUAUGACUGAUUUUAGCUUAUAAGCACUUGGCUUAUAAACACUUUGAGUGUUUACCAAACGCUCAGAUAAGCCAAAAGGUGCUUAUAAGCCAGUUUGACCAGCUUAUAAGCUUAGCCAAACACCCUCGCAGUCGUAGAAGUCUGAAUUCUAAGAAUCUGUGCCUUGCUCCUAAAUUCAGAAGGAAAGCUAGCU
rnacentral:lncRNA from 1 species